UGUUUGGAUUAGGGGCGGUUUGUAUUGGAAUAAUUAUGUAGAAAAUGUCUAUGAAGUAGAAAGAUAGAAAUAGCUUCAAGGUACGUAGCAAUGCCAUCUUUUUUAAGGCUUAAUCUAUUUUCAUCGUUCAAAUAAUUUAAUGUGCACUGGGUCAAUGAACAACCUUACAGGAUACAAUAAAGUAUAAACCUCAACUGUAUUUGCACACAGGAAGUUGAGUCUUUGAGCACACAUUCGAUCAAGUUGUCAAAAGAUAUAGAAUACAAAAAGAAGAAUGAAAUUAUUAUGAAUGGAGACUGAAAGUUUUCAACUAUCCAUGUUUCAACAACCAACUCUAUGUGCUUAUAUAGACCACGAAUGGGUGUUUCAUGAAGUGAUAUUUUAUGAACGAAUGUUUUGUGAAGCGACCUUUCAAUUCCAACAGGCAUAUGUUCGAAGAGAUAUACUAUAAAGAAGUGUCUUUUCAUAUCUUAUUCUUUUACUAAAAAUCACGUUCUUUCACAUUCAUUCUUUAAAAAUCACACUCUUUGAUUAAAGUCGCAUCUACUCACUAAGAGUUGCAUCCAUGCACUAAAACUCAAAAACUAAAUAUAUUAUUUUAAAAAUUUCCUUAUAGUUUGGUUUCACGUAAAACUUGAAGAAAAUAUUUGUGGAAAAAGACUUUUCAAAAGAAAAUAAAUUUUACGAUCUUUAGUGUUCGGUUUACAGGAAAAGAAAAAUAGUUUUUUAUUACGGUUGUUUGGUUGAAAGAAAAGACAAAUAAAAAUCUAUUAUAUGUAUUUUUCUAUUCUAUAUAUUGUAUAUUAUUAAUAUAUAAUAAUUCUUAUACUACAUAUAUUACUAUUAAAUAAAAAUCUAUUAUAUGUAAUUUUCUCUGUCCCCUUCUCAAUAACAAUAAUAAUAUUAUUAUUAUUUUAAACAA
rnacentral:lncRNA from 1 species